GUGGGUGCAGUCAGACGGUAUCCGGCUUCUGACGUCCGGCUCUUUCGCCGAGCGUGAUGUCUUCAAGGUUGGUCCGUGUUGUGGCCGAGUGGCAGCCCGUUGCCUGCACGCACCACGUUUGGUCGUCCAUUCGCCUGGUGAGGGGCACCCGGGUUCUCUUCACCUGUCAGCCACCGCGAGUCAUCUGCUGGGAACACGGGUGGGCAAAUAUCCCUUCGAGUCCCUGCUUCCCAUUCCCGGUGCCUUCUAGAGAGAGAGAGAGAGAGAGAGCGAGCGUUUGGACAAGUUUUUCCCAUGGUUUGGGAAUCACGGGUUUGUGGAUUACCGCGUGCCACGAGGACCGUCAUCGACGCGUACAGACUUCUCUGGGGACCAGAGCUAACGUUUACUGAGGAUCUCUGGAGGGGCUGAGACAAUGGCUUUGGCUCUUUUCACUCCUCAUGACCGUCUUCCUGAGUGGAUGUCAUCACCCCGUUGUACAGAUGCACAAAAGGAGCCCGGGUUGCUGAGGGUCUCACAGGAGCUGAGGGUCCGGGGGCCCCGACUCUGCACCCUCCUUUUGGCACUUUUCACGACAGCGCAGUGGUUUUUGUGUGCGUGUCAUAAGCUCGCUACGUCAAGUUGGCAAGACCCCCCCCCACCCCACCCCGGGGGUCAGGACCACUUUUCCUUCUUCUCCUGCGUCUCCCACUCGGGCUGGAACUCGGACGAUGCUCAACGAAUGCUCUUAAAUCAGCGCCUCUGAAUUCUGAUGUCAGAGGAGUGGUCUCAGGACGGGCCCCCCCCGUUGUGUCCUUGUGCCAUUCUGCUGCCUGGAGGCACCCCUCUCACUCUCAGACGUGCCCUUCGGGGCCCAGCCUGGGGGCUCUUCUCAGGACCGCCCCGCACACCCUGUCCUCCAUGCUUGGGGCUCUCUGUUGGAGCUCACCUCUCCGUGGGACGGUCAUGAUAGGCAAAACUGUGCACCAAUGGAAGGGACUUCCCGAGGAGGAAAUAUGCUCCCUGUCAGCAAAAGGAGGCAAGUGGAGGCUGGGUGGCUCUGGAACCCGAAGCAAUCAGCCCUAGG